ACAUCCACACACGGGUUAGGCGGGGGGAGGUGGGAUUGAUGAGCGGCGUCGGAAAGCAGUCAUGACAUCUGUUCUUAUUUGGAUGCUGUGGCCGCUGAAGGUAGACUGCUCUCCUCGAUUGCAGAGUCGGACCUUCGGGGCUGCGUCUGUUUUCCCACCAUGCUGGAUAUUUUGGUUUUAAUGUUUUUCGCCAUUAUAGGCCUGAGCUUCUUAUCUUACAUUAUUUACAUGCUUUGAGGAGUCCGUCGGCGCUGGCCGAUCGCGAGAUUACUAGAAUGGCAGACGGUUGAUGCGCUUUGUUGUUGUUUUUUUUUUUUUGUCAAUUUUUCUCGGCCUACGGUGUAGCUCCCUGGACAAAGGGUGGUGACAGGUGCGGCAGGAUGAGCAGGUGCGGUUGAAGGGAGGGAUAGGGGUCUCGGCACUGCGGUGUGAGGAGGCAGCUCUUCUCCCUCCCUCCCGCACCCAGAAGAACCUUCCGCUGCUGGUUCCCUCCUCUUCAGUGCUCACAUUCGUAAUUUCAAUCCCUAUUGGAACCCCUAUCCUCACUUCAUCCUUGUGUGGCCACAGUUCCUGUACAGCCAGGGUGCACAACUUCGAUGUGCAUUCUGUCUUAUCCUCCAACCAAACGGCUGAAUGCACCCGCGCUGGUUCACUCCUGUUCUGACCGCAAAAACAUCGUCACCAAUGUGAUCACGUGAUCAGUCCACGGCUGUAGCUCAUGAUUUUGUCAGAACACAAUCGAAUAAAACCAUUAGGGCUAAUUAAGCAGACGAGUUAAGGUUUGUGUGAAGUCACGAAAUGGAUCCGCUCAAACUGCAGCCCUACGCGUCCAAUUGCCUCGAUAGCUCUAGCCUUCGAUUGUUUUGAAGCUGUCAGUGGAUGAGUCCUGCUGUUUGCUGUGCACAGAGAGGAGGGUUAAGAUCACAAACACUGCUUAUAUAAACACCGUAGAGGCUCGAGGCAGCUCUGAUCACAAACACUGCUUAUAUAAACACCGUAGAGAGGCUCGAGGCAGCUCUGAACACAACUCAGAGCUGAUUGUGCACAAGCUGUCGGUGAUUGUGACGCUGAGCUGUGACUUGUUUUCCGCAAUACCGUGCUUCUCUGUUCAUAUGUGUGCAUACUGCAAGUAGGCGUACUUUUCAGACUGAAAGGGGAAUUUCAAGGACAAUCUCGAAGAGAGCUACAUGGUAUCCUGUAUUUUUUUUAAAUGAUUGAUGCACUUUAUCAUGGAAUUGAGUCUUGUGUUAGGUUCAACAGUAAGUCCAAAUGGCAUUAUGUUUGAUGUUCUCGAUGAGCUUGUGUAAUGAGGUAUGGUUCUGGAAUGUUCCUGUUCUCCAAGCAGGGGGAUCUGACAUGAUGUUUAGCUAAAAACUGCAUCUCUGAUUCCUGUCCUCUUCUGUGUGCCGACCGGCCCAGUAUAGGUGUUAUAGCUGGGGUGGCACUGCUCAGUGAAACAAACAUAAUGCCAUUAUCAGCUGUGGCAGGGAACUUAGUAUUGCUUUCUGUUUGCACUGAAUUAAUUUCCAGUAUCUUGGUGGAGCAUAAUAUGACAGUAUAUGCAUGUACUUCAUAUUUGCCCUGUUCCCUCACUCUCAAGAUUAAUUUAUUCUAUUGAACAUACAGUAAAAUGAAGAUGUGAUCAAUUCUGAAGACUAUUUUCUCAGUCAAAUCAAAUAUAGGACACCAUAUGUAUUCUUCUAAUGAGCACAACUGUUUUGCAUCAAUCAAUUUUUGUGAUACAUAAUUUUGACCUUGUAAUAAAGAAAUUGGUCCAUCUUUAAUUGGUAUUACUGCCUUUUAGAGUCAGAUUUUCAGUGCUUCACGUUGGAUAUCUUCCUGAAGGAAAUAAAAAAUAUAAAACACUGGAAA